rnacentral:rRNA from 1 species
UACGUAGGGACCGAGCGUUGUCCGGAAUCAUUGGGCGUAAAGAGCUCGUAGGCGGCUGUUCAAGUCGAACGUGAAAACUCGGAGCUCAACUCCGAGCCUGCGUUCGAUACUGGACGGCUAGAGUCUGGUAGGGGGAUCUGGAAUUCCUGGUGUAGCGGUGGAAUGCGCAGAUAUCAGGAGGAACACCGGUGGCGAAGGCGGGUCUCUGGGCCGAUACUGACGCUGAGGAGCGAAAGCGUGGGGAGCGAACAGG